UACGGAGGGUGCGAGCGUUGUCCGGAAUCAUUGGGCGUAAAGGGCGCGUAGGUGGCCCGGUCAGUCUUUGGUGAAAGCGCGGGGCUCAACCCUGCGUCGGCCAGGGAUACUGCCGCGGCUCGAGCACUGUAGAGGCAGGCGGAAUUCCGGGUGUAGCGGUGGAAUGCGUAGAGAUCCGGGAGAACACCGGUGGCGAAGGCGGCCUGCUGGGCAGUUUUGCUGACACUGAGGCGCGACAGCGUGGGGAGCAAACAGG
rnacentral:rRNA from 1 species